CCUGGCGGCUUUAGCGCGGUGGUCCCACCUGACCCCAUGCCGAACUCAGAAGUGAAACGCCGUAGCGCCGAUGGUAGUGUGGGGCCUCCCCAUGC
rnacentral:rRNA from 1 species